rnacentral:rRNA from 1 species
GGGGAAUUUUCCGCAAUGGGCGCAAGCCUGACGGAGCAAUACCGCGUGAGGGAAGAAGGCUCUUGGGUUGUAAACCUCUUUUCUCAGGGAAGAAGUUCUGACGGUACCUGAGGAAUCAGCAUCGGCUAACUCCGUGCCAGCAGCCGCGGUAAUACGGAGGACGCAAGCGUUAUCCGGAAUUAUUGGGCGUAAAGAGUCCGUAGGUGGUCAAAUAAGUCUGCUGUCAAAGACCGGGGCUUAACUCCGGAAAGGCAGUGGAAACUGUGUGACUAGAGACCGGGAGGGGUAGAGGGAAUUCCCAGUGUAGCGGUGAAAUGCGUAGAGAUUGGGAAGAACACCGGUGGCGAAGGCGCUCUACUGGACCGGAACUGACACUGAGGGACGAAAGCUAGGGGAGCGAAAGGGAUUAGAUACCCCUGUAGUC